GACGAACGCUGGCGGCGUGCUUAACACAUGCAAGUCGAACGGAAAGGCCCUGCUUUUGUGUGGUGCUCGAGUGGCGAACGGGUGAGUAACACGUGAGUAACCUGCCCUUGACUUUGGUAUAACUUCAGGAAACUGGGUCUAAUACCGGAUAGGAGCUCCUUCUGCAUGGUGGGGGUUGGAAAGUUUCGGCGGUUGGGGAUGGACUCGCGGCUUAUCAGCUUGUUGGUGGGGUAGUGGCUUACCAAGGCUUUGACGGGUAGCCGGCCUGAGAGGGUGACCGGCCACAAUGGGACUGAGAGACGGGCCAGACUCCUACGGGAGGCAGAAGUGCGGAUUAUUGCACAAUGGGCGGAAGACUGAUGCAGCAACGCCGCGUGCGGGAUGAAGGCCUUCGGGUUGUAAACCGCUUUCGCCUGUGACGAAGCGUGAGUGACGGUAAUGGGUAAAGAAGCACCGGCUAACUACGUG
rnacentral:rRNA from 1 species